GCCGGAGUGGUGAAACUGGUAGACGCAGGGGACUCAAAAUCCCCCGACCCUCGCGGUCAUGUCGGUUCAAUUCCGACCUCCGGCACCA
rnacentral:tRNA from 2 species